rnacentral:rRNA from 1 species
AGUAGAACGCUGAAGUCUGGUGCUUGCACUAGACGGAUGAGUUGCGAACGGGUGAGUAACGCGUAGGUAACCUGCCUCAUAGCGGGGGAUAACUAUUGGAAACGAUAGCUAAUACCGCAUAACAGUAUUUACCGCAUGGUAGAUACUUGAAAGGAGCAAUUGCUUCACUAUGAGAUGGACCUGCGUUGUAUUAGCUAGUUGGUGAGGUAACGGCUCACCAAGGCAUCGAUACAUAGCCGACCUGAGAGGGUGAUCGGCCACACUGGGACUGAGACACGGCCCAGACUCCUACGGGAGGCAGCAGUAGGGAAUCUUCGGCAAUGGGGGCAACCCUGACCGAGCAACGCCGCGUGAGUGAAGAAGGUUUUCGGAUCGUAAAGCUCUGUUGUAAGAGAAGAACUGUGAGAAGAGUGGAAAGUUUCUCACUUGACGGUAUCUUACCAGAAAGGGACGGCUAACUACGUGCCAGCAGCCGCGGUAAUACGUAGGUCCCGAGCGUUGUCCGGAUUUAUUGGGCGUAAAGCGAGCGCAGGCGGUUUGAUAAGUCUGAAGUAAAAGGCUGUGGCUUAACCAUAGUACGCUUUGGAAACUGUCAAACUUGAGUGCAGAAGGGGAGAGUGGAAUUCCAUGUGUAGCGGUGAAAUGCGUAGAUAUAUGGAGGAACACCGGUGGCGAAAGCGGCUCUCUGGUCUGUAACUGACGCUGAGGCUCGAAAGCGUGGGGAGCGAACAGGAUUAGAUACCCUGGUAGUCCACGCCGUAAACGAUGAGUGCUAGGUGUUGGGUCCUUUCCGGACUC